rnacentral:rRNA from 1 species
AACAAAGAAUAAAAGGUCGAGCCUGCCCGGUGACUAUAUGUUUAACGGCCGCGGUAUUUUAACCGUGCAAAGGUAGCGCAAUCACUUGUCUUUUAAAUGAAGACCUGUAUGAAUGGUAUUACGAGGGCUUAACUGUCUCCUUUUUCAAGUCAGUGAAAUUGAUCUCCCCGUGCAGAAGCGGGGAUAAGACCAUAAGACGAGAAGACCCUAUGGAGCUUUAAGACACCAAGGCAAAUCAAGUUAAACACCCCUAAACAAAGGACUAAACCUAUUGAACUCUUGCCCGUAUGUCUUCGGUUGGGGCGACCAUGGGGAAACAAAAAACCCCCACGUGGAACGGGAGCACAACUACUCCUACAGCUGAGAGCUGCCGCUCUAAUAAGCAGAACUUCUGACCAAUAACUGAUCCGGCAACGCCGAUCAACGGACCAAGUUACCCUAGGGAUAACAGCGCAAUCCCCUUUUAGAGCCCCUAUCGACAAGGGGGUUUACGACCUCGAUGUUGGAUCAGGACAUCCCAAUGGUGCAGCCGCUAUUGAAGGUUCGUUUGUUCAACGAUUAAAGUCCUACGUGAUCUGAGUUCAGACCGG